rnacentral:rRNA from 1 species
CUACGGGCGGCUGCAGUGAGGAAUAUUGCACAAUGGGGGGAACCCUGAUGCAGCAACGCCGCGUGGAGGAUGACGCAUUUCGGUGUGUAAACUCCUUUUAUAUGUCAAGAAAAUGACGGUAGCAUAUGAAUAAGCACCGGCUAACUCCGUGCCAGCAGCCGCGGUAAUACGGAGGGUGCAAGCGUUACUCGGAAUCACUGGGCGUAAAGGACGCGUAGGCGGGUUGGAAAGUCAGGUGUGAAAUCCUACAGCUUAACUGGAGAACUGCACUUGAAACUUCUAAUCUAGAGUAUGGGAGGGGGAGAUGGAAUUAGUGGUGUAGGGGCAAAAUCCGUAGAUAUCACUAGGAAUACCUAAAGCGAAGGCGAUCUCCUGGAACAUUACUGACGCUAAGGCGUGAAAGCGUGGGGAGCAAACAGGAUUAGAUACCCUUGUAGUC